AUGAACGCUGGCGGCGUGCCUAACACAUGCAAGUCGAACGGAGUUCUUAAGGAAUGCGACUUCGGUCAAAUGACUUUUGAACUUAGUGGCGGACGGGUGAGUAACGCGUGAGCAACCUGCCUUUCAGAGGGGGAUAACAUUUGGAAACAGAUGCUAAUACCGCAUAAGAUUACAGUACCGCAUGAUACAGUGAUCAAAGGAGCAAUCCGCUGAAAGAUGGGCUCGCGUCCGAUUAGAUAGUUGGUGAGGUAACGGCUCACCAAGUCGACGAUCGGUAGCCGGACUGAGAGGUUGAACGGCCACAUUGGGACUGAGACACGGCCCAGACUCCUACGGGAGGCAGCAGUGGGGAAUAUUGCACAAUGGGCGAAAGCCUGAUGCAGCAACGCCGCGUGAGGGAAGACGGUUUUCGGAUUGUAAACCUCUGUUUUCGGUGACGAAUAAAUGACGGUAACCGAGUAGGAAGCCACGGCUAACUACGUGCCAGCAGCCGCGGUAAUACGUAGGUGGCAAGCGUUAUCCGGAAUUACUGGGUGUAAAGGGAGCGCAGGCGGGAUAGCAAGUCAGCUGUGAAAACUAUGGGCUCAACCCAUAAACUGCAGUUGAAACUGUUAUUCUUGAGUGGAGUAGAGGCAAGCGGAAUUCCGAGUGUAGCGGUGAAAUGCGUAGAUAUUCGGAGGAACACCAGUGGCGAAGGCGGCUUGCUGGGCUCUAACUGACGCUGAGGCUCGAAAGUGUGGGGAGCAAACAGGAUUAGAUACCCUGGUAGUCCACACUGUAAACGAUGAUAGCUAGGUGUGGGGGGUCUGACCCCUUCCGUGCCGGAGUUAACGCAAUAAGCUAUCCACCUGGGGA
rnacentral:rRNA from 1 species